rnacentral:rRNA from 1 species
GAUGAACGCUGGCGGCGUGCCUAAUACAUGCAAGUCGAGCGAACAGACGAGGAGCUUGCUCCUCUGACGUUAGCGGCGGACGGGUGAGUAACACGUGGAUAACCUACCUAUAAGACUGGGAUAACUUCGGGAAACCGGAGCUAAUACUGGAUAAUAUAUUGAACCGCAUGGUUCAAUAGUGAAAGACGGUUUUGCUGUCACUUAUAGAUGGAUCCGCGUCGCAUUAGCUAGUUGGUAAGGUAACGGCUUACCAAGGCAACGAUGCGUAGCCGACCUGAGAGGGUGAUCGGCCACACUGGAACUGAGACACGGUCCAGACUCCUACGGGAGGCAGCAGUGGGGAAUCUUCCGCAAUGGGCGAAAGCUUGACGGAGCAACGCCGCGUGAGUGAUGAAGGUCUUCGGAUCGUAAAACUCUGUUAUUAGGGAAGAACAAAUGUGUAAGUAACUAUGCACGUCUUGACGGUACCUAAUCAGAAAGCCACGGCUAACUACGUG